rnacentral:lncRNA from 10 species
GCUAGCAAUCAGCAAGACUCUGUGGGCGUAGGACCCUCCGAGCCAGGUGCCGGAUAUAAUCUCGUGGUGUGCCGUUUUUUAAGCCGGUCCGAAAAGCGCAAUAUUCGGGUGGGAGUGACCUGAUUUUCCAGAUAAUUGACAAUAGGCUCCCAUGGAAGUCUUCUGUGCAUUUCUGCAAAAAUUUAGGAAACAUUAGGUUUGACACCAUCAUCAUGUUUGCCAAGGCAGCAAAAAUCCCAGCCGGCAAAGCUUCAAGUGUGAUGAAGCGGAACAGCAAGGACAGCACGGAAUGACUGAUCAUUUCAGAAUGCCGUCUAGCGAGAGUUUCCAAUGUGGGAGUUUUCCAUUGUUUUGAAGCAGGAGAAAUAGGGACCGGCUGCUUUGGAAGAAACAUGCU